rnacentral:tRNA from 1 species
UAAAAAUUAGUUAAUGUAUAAUAUAAGUUUGUCAGACUUAAGUAAUCUUUCACGAUAUUUUUAU